rnacentral:rRNA from 1 species
CCUACGGGGGGCAGCAGUGAGGAAUAUUGGUCAAUGGCCGGAAGGCUGAACCAGCCAUGCCGCGUGAAGGUCAGUGCCCUAUGGGCGUUAAACUUCUUUUGUGCGGGAGCAAUAAUGGUCACGUGUGGCCAGACGAGAGUACCGUACGAAUAAGCAUCGGCUAACUCCGUGCCAGCAGCCGCGGUAAUACGGGGGAUGUAAGCGUUAUCCGGAUUUAUUGGGUUUAAAGGGUGCGUAGGCUGUGAGGUAAGUCAGCGGUGAAAUGCCCCCGCUCAACGGGGUGAAGUGCCAUUGAUACUGCCUGGCUGGAAUGCGGAUGCGGUGGGAGGAAUGUGUGGUGUAGCGGUGAAAUGCAUAGAUAUCACACAGAACACCGAUUGCGAAGGCAUCUCACGAAUCCGCGAUUGACGCUGAUGCACGAAAGCGUGGGUAUCAAACAGGAUUAGAUACCCCGGUAGUC